GAUGAACGCUAGCGGGAGGCCUAACACAUGCAAGCCGAGCGGUAUUGUUUCUUCGGAAAUGAGAGAGCGGCGUACGGGUGCGGAACACGUGUGCAACCUGCCUUUAUCUGGGGGAUAGCCUUUCGAAAGGAAGAUUAAUACUCCAUAAUAUAUUGAACGGCAUCGUUUAAUAUUGAAAGCUCCGGCGGAUAGAGAUGGGCACGCGCAAGAUUAGCUAGUUGGUGAGGUAACGGCUCACCAAGGCGAUGAUCUUUAGGGGGCCUGAGAGGGCGAUCCCCCACACUGGUACUGAGACACGGACCAGACUCCUACGGGAGGCAGCAGUGAGGAAUAUUGGUCAAUGGGUGCAAGCCUGAACCAGCCAUCCCGCGUGAAGGACGACUGCCCUAUGGGUUGUAAACUUCUUUUGUAUAGGGAUAAACCUACCCUCGUGAGGGUAGCUGAAGGUACUAUACGAAUAAGCACCGGCUAACUCCGUGCCAGCAGCCGCGGUAAUACGGAGGGUGCAAGCGUUAUCCGGAUUUAUUGGGUUUAAAGGGUCCGUAGGCGGACUUAUAAGUCAGUGGUGAAAGCCUGUCGCUUAACGAUAGAACUGCCAUUGAUACUGUAAGUCUUGAGUAUAUUUGAGGUAGCUGGAAUAAGUAGUGUAGCGGUGAAAUGCAUAGAUAUUACUUAGAACACCAAUUGCGAAGGCAGGUUACCAAGAUAUAACUGACGCUGAGGGACGAAAGCGUGGGGAGCGAACAGG
rnacentral:rRNA from 1 species